rnacentral:rRNA from 1 species
CUGCCCUUAGGACGGGGAUAAACCCGGGAAACUGGGUAUAAUACCCGAUAGGUCUCGAUUGCUGGAAUGCAUCGAGAUUUAAAGCUCCGGCGCCUAAGGAUGGGUCUGCGGCCUAUCAGGUAGUAGUGGGUGUAGCGUACCUACUAGCCUACGACGGGUACGGGUUGUGAGAGCAAGAGCCCGGAGAUGGAUUCUGAGACACGAAUCCAGGCCCUACGGGGUGCAGCAGGCGCGAAAACUUUACAAUGCUGGCAACAGCGAUAAGGGAACCUCGAGUGCCAGGUUACAAAUCUGGCUGUCGAGAUGCCUAAAAAGCAUUUCAUAGCAAGGGCCGGGCAAGACCGGUGCCAGCCGCCGCGGUAACACCGGCGGCUCGAGUGGUAACCGUUAUUAUUGGGUCUAAAGGGUCUGUAGCCGGCCGGAUAAGUCUCUUGAGAAAUCUGGCAGCUUAACUGUCAGGCUUUCAGGAGAUACUGUCUGGCUCGAGGCCGGGAGAGGUGAGAGGUACUUCAGGGGUAGGGGUGAAAUCUUGUAAUCCUUGAAGGACCACCAGUGGCGAAGGCGUCUCACCAGAACGGACCUGACGGCAAGGGACGAAAGCUAGGGGCACGAACCGGAUUAGAUACUCGGGUAGUCCUAGCCGUAAACGAUACUCGCUAGGUGUCGGCCACGGUGCGACCGUUGUCGGUGCCGUAGGGAAGCCGUGAAGCGAGCCACCUGGGAAGUACGGCCGCAAGGCUGAAACUUAAAGGAAUUGGCGGGGGAGCACCACAACGGGUGGAGCUUGCGGUUUAAUUGGAUUCAACGCCGGG